CCUACGGGAGGCAGCAGUGGGGAAUAUUGGACAAUGGGGGGAACCCUGAUCCAGCCAUGCCGCGUGUGUGAAGAAGGCCCUCGGGUUGUAAAGCACUUUCAGUGAGGAAGAACGCCUGGUGGUUAAUACCCAUCAGGAAAGACAUCACUCACAGAAGAAGCACCGGCUAACUCCGUGCCAGCAGCCGCGGUAAUACGGAGGGUGCGAGCGUUAAUCGGAAUUACUGGGCGUAAAGCGCGCGUAGGUGGCCUGAUAAGCCGGUUGUGAAAGCCCCGGGCUCAACCUGGGAACGGCAUCCGGAACUGUCAAGCUAGAGUGCAGGAGAGGAAGGUAGAAUUCCCGGUGUAGCGGUGAAAUGCGUAGAGAUCGGGAGGAAUACCAGUGGCGAAGGCGGCCUUCUGGACUGACACUGACACUGAGGUGCGAAAGCGUGGGUAGCAAACAGGAUUAGAUACCCGAGUAGUC
rnacentral:rRNA from 1 species